UCGGUAUUCUUCAGGUCCAGCGAAUUAGCAGGAUGGUUGCACGGGUAAAACUACUUGAGCUGCUGGUUGCGCUCCUAUGGAUCCGUCUCCAGCGAGCUUUGUAGGGUACGGAGAUCCUUCUCUCCUGUGACCGUGAGCCACUCCUUGCCGGGGCUGCCAUCGACCAUGGCUGUAGGAGGUCACCGGGGUGGGUCUCUUCUCUAUCAGAUCUGAGACAAACCAUACAAAAUCUAUAUUAACCAUCAAGUUAGCAUGGCAUAUAUUUACACAGAAACAACACAACAUCCUAAUUGAUAAUUUUCCUUCUUGCUUAUAGUUCUAAUUUUGAACAUGGCACAAUGAUCUAUUCCCCAUUUUAAUCUUGAACAACACAACAAAUUCAAUCUGUGACGCGCAUGUCUAUACGCCAAUCUAAAAUCUGAGAAGAGCGGAAAAAGUGAGAAAGUACCCUCGGUUAUCCCAAGUUUCUAGCUAAAUGGAAGGUACAUAAAUAUGCAUUGCUGGAGUCAGAAGCAUGAAAUUUAGCACAAUCCCAGAAUACAAAGUUCAUACCUGCAUGGUCGUCUUGUUUAUUAGUCGCCAUUGUAACCCUAGAAUGCAAAAAUGCAUUACUAUCUUGCAAGGGCUUGAUCGACUAU
rnacentral:lncRNA from 1 species